rnacentral:rRNA from 1 species
UACGGAGGGUGCAAGCGUUAAUCGGAAUUACUGGGCGUAAAGCGCGCGUAGGCGGUUUUUUAAGUCGGAUGUGAAAGCCCCGGGCUCAACCUGGGAACUGCAUCCGAUACUGGAAGACUAGAAUGCGGGAGAGGGAGGUAGAAUUCAUGUGUAGCAGUGAAAUGCGUAGAUAUAUGGAGGAAUACCAGUGGCGAAGGCGGCCUCCUGGCUCGACAUUGACGCUGAGGUGCGAAAGCGUGGGGAGCAAACGGC